rfam:Oryza nivara chromosome 6, whole genome shotgun sequence.
UUCAAGUAGAACCAUAAAUUUUCGUGUUAAAUUUUGAUCGUUCGUCUUAUUUAAAAUUUUUUUAUAAUUAGUAUUUUUGUUAUUACGAGAUGAUAAAACAUGAAUAGUAUUUUAUACGUGACUUAUGUUUUUUAAAAAAAUUAAUUAUUUUUAAAUAAGACAGAUGAUCGAAGUUAAGCACGAAAAAGCAUGGCUAUACUUAAA